rnacentral:rRNA from 1 species
AUUGAACGCUGGCGGCAGGCCUAACACAUGCAAGUCGAGCGGAUGAGAGGAGCUUGCUUCUCGAUUCAGCGGCGGACGGGUGAGUAAUGCCUAGGAAUCUGCCUGGUAGUGGGGGACAACGUUUCGAAAGGAACGCUAAUACCGCAUACGUCCUACGGGAGAAAGCAGGGGACCUUCGGGCCUUGCGCUAUCAGAUGAGCCUAGGUCGGAUUAGCUAGUUGGUGAGGUAAUGGCUCACCAAGGCGACGACCCGUAACUGGUCUGAGAGGAUGAUCAGUCACACUGGAACUGAGACACGGUCCAGACUCCUACAAGAGGCAGCAGUGGGGAAUAUUGGACAAUGGGCGAAAGCCUGAUCCAGCCAUGCCGCGUGUGUGAAGAAGGUCUUCGGAUUGUAAAGCACUUUAAGUUGGGAGGAAGGGUUGUAGAUUAAUACUCUGCAAUUUUGACGUUACCGACAGAAUAAGCACCGGCUAACUCUGUGCCAGCCGCCGCGGUAACAC